CUGCGCGUCACAUCAACACUCCUGAAAUACUGAAGUAAAAGACAAAAAAACUUUUCGUCAUAUGGUUGAUGUUUCUCAUAUGAUACCAUAACUCCUCUGAGGUGGGACGGUGUGAGCGCUGAGGGUGCUAAUGUUACAAAGAGAGGCCCAUUUGCCCAGUGCUGGGCUCUGGCUUACACAGAGCACGCUGUACCUGAGCAGGUCUGAUGUGAUGUGCGGGAGAGCCGUCCUUGUGGCACAACACUUCAUCCCUCUGUAGCCAACGGAAGGAUGGAAGUACGCAGUCGUUCCAGGUCACAGUUCUGCCGCCCCUCGCCUUGAGUUUAUACCGUGUGGGUGAGAAACCCCCUGCAUGCUGAUCCCGCAGAGCACUGAGCACAGGUGGCUCUGGGAAAGCUGAGAGAGCGUCUUCAUUCUGAAGCCCUCCUGGUGUGAUCUCAACUGGAGCAUGGUUCUCACCCUCUCUGCAUGGAAACCAUGCCACUGCUGCCCAGACCAGCUGUGCUCUCAUGCUGCCACCCCAAAACCUGGCACUGGGUUAGGGCUCGGUGAAGGGUUCUUGAGUCUGUGAGGCUGUUCCAGCUGAAUCUAUUCAGUAGUUCUGGUUUUCUUGCACCAUUUCCGUUAGUGUUCCAUUCAGAGCGAUCUGAACCAAUAGUUAAAAACAUCACAAAGAACUGAGGGAAAAAAAAAAUACUGGAAAUCAAGUUUAAGACAAACAAAUCCAAGUUAUUUGUGCCUAAAUGUUGCUUUCUUAUCUGUCACCCUAUGCAAACAUUUCCUGAUGAAUCACCUUCUAGAGUAGUCUCUGAUCUCAGAGUAUCUCCGUUCCCUGCCUCACCUACGUUUGGCCUUGUAAUGACUAUGUCUGAUGUCCUAAGAUGAUUCCUUCUUAGGUAGGCAAAAGCCUGCUGUUAGGCAAGAUAAUGAAAGAGCAAAAUGUUAGAUUAUUCUGCAAAGAUUACAAAUGACAUCUGUCAUGAUGUAGCCUUGUUUGUGAAACUCUAUGGGAAGAAUCUAAAGAUACACAAGGUAAAUCCUCCAGCUCUGAAUCAAACAACUUCACGCUGAAGUUGAGAGCCUCUGUCCUUCCCUCCAUCCUUUUUCCUGCACUGGAUGCUAGCCAUGAUACCAGAAGGAAAGCUGACCUUUCACUGAAGUUCCCAAACACCUUCUGUGCCACCUUUUGACCUGUGCUCCACUGAGCACACCAUCAAAGUCAGAGGUUAUGGAAAAAUUAUGAAGAAAGUGAAGGCUGAAUGAGACUACUAACCAAAGGGGAAGCAAAAGAUGAUCUUUGGACAUCCAGUUUGAACUGGGGCUCGGGAGGUCUGUGUUCACUCUCUAGCUUGACCACAGACUUCUUUUUUGACUUAGAGGGAAAAAUGGAAGCUGAGACUUGCCCUGUCCUGAAGAAAAGAACAGUGUUUUACGCAGUUGCCCAUCUUUAGGGACCACGUUAUGGGGUGAGAACUUAAGAUCAGUUAACAUCAGUUCAACCAGGCAGGUGUGACAUUGUACAUCUUCUUUCUGUUACAGACAUAGAAUUCCUUACAGGGACAUUUGUACUCCACAGCUUCUUUAGGAUGUUACAAUAUCCAUGUUGGUAUGUCCAUGUUUCUUUAUGCCUCAAGUGUCAGUGCAGCUGAGUAUCUGGAAGAUCUCACUUGCACAUAUAGCUAUGCUUUGUGAACUUCUAAAAGUAGAGAUUGCCUCUUCCUAUACAUUUUGUACUGAACUUGGCCACUGAAACUCCAGAAUUGGAUAGGACAUAUAGGAGCAGCUGUAAUAAAAAUUACAGCACAAAAAGCCCAGCACAGAUACUUGAACAGUCACCAAUACUGGAAUAUGAUUGUUGCUUUCAGCACUAGGAAUCCUCCACCACCAGGAUUUUUCAGCCAGAUUUCAAGGAACAGGAAAAUCUUCACACUAUAUUGUCACUACAAGACUAAAAACGUACUAAGCAAUCAAGUGUUAAGUAAAAUCCUGAAGGCCAAAAGAUGCAAGCCAUGAAACUUUAGCACACCGUUAUUCAACAAAGCGCUCGAGUUUUUCAUUGAGACUUGUGUGUGGACUUAACUGUUAGAGCUUACAACGCCUUGCAGGUAGCAGCAAAAGCUUAAAAUAAUGUUUUGCCCCACCGCCUAGCAGUGAGAUAGAAAGCACUGCUAUGCAACGCAAUGGUGGGAGAGUUUGGAAAUUGUUCCAGUGAGGAUGUCAGAGAAGUUGUUGAGAAAGAAUGGCUGAUGAAGAGCUGCCAAGCUGGAAUAUGAAAUAGCUUUUUAUAUUCCUUAGAAAGGUAACUGCUGCCUAACGCAUUGACCUUGGGCUGGAUUCCAGGUGUGAAAGGGUUUUGCUACGUCUUCUUCUCAACAUAAAGAGAAGUGACAGACGCAGAGGUAGCCAGGGAGCUGAGCAUGCACACAAGGGCAGUAGCUAUGACCUUGCCAUCUUUUGUGAAGAGGAGAAGCCCUCAGCUAUGCAGGAAAGGCUGCUGGUCUUUGGUACUUAAUACACGGGUUAGAUGGAGCCCAGUGAUACCCCCAAAGCUGCUUUUCUUCCACUCUCAGGCAUUUGAGUUGGCAAGCUCAGCCUUUUUUACUUGUUGCAUUAAAAAUAAGCAAUCAAACUAUCUUAUCAACUUUUCCCUGUGAUCUUAUUCCUCGUGGUCUCCACUGAAUCAGACAUCAAUAAGGUGAGUUUUGCUCAGACUAAAAAGAGAUUUGUCUGCAAGCGCAGUUUAUGAUAAUUAGGGGAAAAACAAGUUGGACAGGAUGCUGAAGAGAAAAUUGAGGCCUGGUAAUACGUGCAAACAGGGAGAGCUGUUGUUGUUUUUCAUCUUAGUGUUUUGUUUUUCAGCAGCAGAAGCUGUUGCGUUUCGCUUCCUCCAAGCAGGAGCUAAUAAUGAGCUACCAAUAACGAUCUACCGUGUGGACUAAUAAGGAGGCUGUCUUGCUAUUUUGUCAAAGCAUUUUUUUUUUCCUGAAAAAAGACCCUUGCAUAUAAUGAAGUGCUGUAAGUGGAAUGCUGCUUGGUGUCUGGGGUGCUUGGUUGCUCUUCCUUUUUCUAAGACAGGUAGAAAAGUAUGCUGGAAUUGUAAAAAUGAGUGGUCAUUUUACAGUAGAAGCGAAAAACCUGACAUCGAUGUGCAAGCAAGAUACACUAAGUUAUACACUAAGUCUGGAAUGCUUUUCCCUUGAGUCCUCUCUAUCCUGGGAGAAGUGCUAUAUCAAGGCAAUCUCCAUUCACGCUUGUACUGCUGGACCAUCACAAAGCAGCUGAAGCAAACUGGCAAAACUCCCUUCAGAGGUUGUCGACCACAUGGCUGCACAGGACCCUGCAAUGCUGUGCUUAAAAAAGCAAUCAAAUUCAAGUCAGCUUGCUUGUUGUGGGUAUUUUCUGGGAACUGUUUAUUACCAUGCCACAUCUGCUGACCAAUUUUUGCAUAAUAA
ensembl:lncRNA